rnacentral:lncRNA from 1 species
GUUCUCUCUCUAUAUAAUUUAUAAAUUUAAACAUUUUUCUACCCUAAACGAUUGAUUGUUGUUUGUUAUAUGUCCAGUGACAAAUAUUUCAUGACAACUCUCCAACCUUAUCAUUUCUUAUCAAAACUCAAGACAUUUUCUUUUUAUCUAAACCUUUUUAUGUUUUUCAAAUAUUUUAACAUAAAAAAACCAAUCCUCCUUUAUUUUUACUAAUUUAUAUCAAUUUCAAAUAAUAAGUUUUCA